rnacentral:rRNA from 1 species
GUGGGGAAUUUUGGACAAUGGGCGCAAGCCUGAUCCAGCAAUGCCGCGUGCAGGAAGAAGGCCUUCGGGUUGUAAACUGCUUUUGUACGGAACGAAACGGUCCGGGUUAAUACCCUGGGCUAAUGACGGUACCGUAAGAAUAAGCACCGGCUAACUACGUGCCAGCAGCCGCGGUAAUACGUAGGGUGCAAGCGUUAAUCGGAAUUACUGGGCGUAAAGCGUGCGCAGGCGGUUUUGUAAGACAGGCGUGAAAUCCCCGGGCUCAACCGGGGAAUUGCGCUUGGGACGGAAAGGCUGGAGUGUGGCAAAGGGGGAUGGAAUUCCGCGUGUAGCAGUGAAAUGCGUAGAUAUGCGGAGGAACACCGAUGGCGAAGGCAAUCCCCUGGGCCUGCACUGACGCUCAUGCACGAAAGCGUGGGGAGCAAACAGGAUUAGAUACCCGAGUAGUCC